UACAGAGGGGGCAAGCGUUAUUCGGAAUCAUUGGGCGUAAAGGGCGCGUAGGCGGCGAUUCAAGUGGCGGGUGAAAUCCCUCGGCUUAACCGAGGAACUGCCUGCCAGACUGGAUUGCUUGAGUCCGGGAGAGGUGAGUGGAAUUCCCAGUGUAGCGGUGAAAUGCGCAGAUAUCAGGAGGAACACCGGUGGCGAAGGCGGAUCUCUGGGCCUUACCUGACGCUCAGGUGCGAAAGCUAGGGGAGCGAACAGG
rnacentral:rRNA from 1 species